CAGGGAAGAAGCGAAAGUGACGGUACCUGCAGAAAAAGCGCCGGCUAAAUACGUGCCAGCAGCCGCGGUAAUACGUAGGGCGCAAGCGUAUCUCGGAAUUAUUGGGCGUAAAGAGCUCGUAGGCGGUUUGUCGCGUCUGCUGUGAAAUCCCGAGGCUCAACCUCGGGCCUGCAGUGGGUACGGGCAGAGUAGAGUGCGGUAGGGGAGAUUGGAAUUCCUGGUGUAGCGGUGGAAUGCGCAGAUAUCAGGAGGAACACCGAUGGCGAAGGCAGAUCUCUGGGCCGUAACUGACGCUGAGGAGCGAAAGGGUGGGGAGCAAACAGGCUUAGAUACCCUGGUAGUCCACCCCGUAAACGUUGGGAACUAGUUGUGGGGUCCAUUCCACGGAUUCCGUGACGCAGCUAACGCAUUAAGUUCCCCGCCUGGGGAGUACGGCCGCAAGGCUAAAACUCAAAGGAAUUGACGGGGACCCGCACAAGCGGCGGAGCAUGCGGAUUAAUUCGAUGCAACGCGAAGAACCUUACCAAGGCUUGACAUAUACGAGAACGGGCCAGAAAUGGUCAACUCUUUGGACACUCGUAAACAGGUGGUGCAUGGUUGUCGUCAGCUCGUGUCGUGAGAUGUUGGGUUAAGUCCCGCAACGAGCGCAACCCUCGUUCUAUGUUGCCAGCACGUAAUGGUGGGAACUCAUGGGAUACUGCCGGGGUCAACUCGGAGGAAGGUGGGGAUGACGUCAAAUCAUCAUGCCCCUUAUGUCUUGGGCUUCACGCAUGCUACAAUGGGUGGUACAAAGGGCUGCAAUACCGCGAGGUGGAGCGAUAUCUCCAAAAAGCCGGUCCCAGUUCGGAUUGAGGU
rnacentral:rRNA from 1 species